CCUACGUGAGGCUGCAGUGGGGAAUAUUGCUCAAUGGGGGGAACCCUGAAGCAGCAACGCCGCGUGGGUGAAGAAGUACUUCGGAUUGUAAACCCCUUUUGUUAGGGAAGAAAAUGACGGUAUCUAACCAAUAAGCACCGGCUAACUCCGUGCCAGCAGCCGCGGUAAUACGGAGGGGGCAAGCGUUACCCGGAUUUACUGGGCGUAAAGGGCGCGUCGACGGGAAGGCAAGUCUGGAGUGAAAUCCUGUGGCCCAACCAUGGGACUGCAUUGGAAACUGUGUUUCUAGAGUGCAGGAGGGGUAGGCGGAAUGCGUGGUGUAGCGGUGAAAUGCGUAGAUAUCAAGAGGAACACCGAUGGCGAAGGCGGCUUACUGGACCGUAACUGACGUUGAUGCUCGAAGGCGUGGGGAGCAAACAGGAUUAGAUACCCUAGUAGUC
rnacentral:rRNA from 1 species